AACGAACGCUGGCGGCAUGCCUAACACAUGCAAGUCGAACGAAGGCUUCGGCCUUAGUGGCGCACGGGUGCGUAACGCGUGGGAAUCUGCCCUUAGGUUCGGAAUAACAGCUGGAAACGGCUGCUAAUACCGGAUGAUGACGAAAGUCCAAAGAUUUAUCGCCUGAGGAUGAGCCCGCGUUGGAUUAGGUAGUUGGUGGGGUAAAGGCCUACCAAGCCGACGAUCCAUAGCUGGUCUGAGAGGAUGAUCAGCCACACUGGGACUGAGACACGGCCCAGACUCCUACGGGAGGCAGCAGUGGGGAAUAUUGGACAAUGGGCGAAAGCCUGAUCCAGCAAUGCCGCGUGAGUGAUGAAGGCCCUAGGGUUGUAAAGCUCUUUUACCCGGGAAGAUAAUGACUGUACCGGGAGAAUAAGCCCCGGCUAACUCCGUGCCAGCAGCCGCGGUAAUACGGAGGGGGCUAGCGUUGUUCGGAAUUACUGGGCGUAAAGCGCACGUAGGCGGCUUUGUAAGUCAGAGGUGAAAGCCUGGAGCUCAACUCCAGAACUGCCUUUGAGACUGCAUCGCUUGAAUCCAGGAGAGGUCAGUGGAAUUCCGAGUGUAGAGGUGAAAUUCGUAGAUAUUCGGAAGAACACCAGUGGCGAAGGCGGCUGACUGGACU
rnacentral:rRNA from 1 species